GUAUUGCGCCGGGCUAGAACGGAUAACUCUGAUGACGUUAAUUACGAGAAACUUUUUCUCCAAUAUCA
rnacentral:tRNA from 1 species